AUUUAAGGUCAGGUGGGGUAAGAGGGACGCGGGGGGAAGAGAAACUGUACCUAGUAAAAAGAAAACUAUAACGGCGAGCUCUAUGGUCACUACGUUGAUAUAACAGUAUUAGGCGUAGUUCAUAUAUUCUUGGAUAUAUGGCGCUACAACACGGCAGAUAAGCGAGUAAAAGAGAGAAAAAAAAAUCAGUUGUCAAACUAAAAAAACCAAGACCUAGCGGCGUUCCUUGUUUGUGUUAUUAAAAUAUUAAAAACAUCAGUUUUGCGGUUGAUUGCUAUGAAAAAGCAAAAUGCCUCGAGCUUACGAAAAAAAGACCGAUAGAAGUUCUUA